GAAGGGUGGAGGGGAUGGCCACAGGCACCCCAAAUGCUUUCUAUGCCUCUGAGUGCUCUGCCAGGCCCAUGGCCAAAUGUUACUAGUGUACUCAGAUUUCUUUAAAUAAUUUCUCUUUAAGGAUAAGAAUGACACAUUUAACUAGAUUAGUUUUCUAGAAAAUGUCACUGUUGAAGACUUUUGUUUGGGUUCUUAAAUCAAGGGUUCAUUAAACUUAGGAUUCUUCUUUGGCUUUCUGUAUUUAGAAGAAUCUUUACACAUACAGUGAGACAUCCUUUUUAUUAUGAGGUUCCUCUCUGGUAUCUAUCUUUCAUUUCAAAAGAAAAGUAGAAUUAGAUGCCUUAUAUUUUUAUUCAAAACAUCACUCUCAGUUUUUUUUCCUGUAUCAUUAGGGUGUGUGAAUACAUAAGGUGAAUGUUAUCAUGUUAUGAUUUUGUGUGGAAACACCUCUCUUCUGUUUUCAGGUUUACAGUUAGAAUUCUUGCCUGUCUGGGCUGUCAAGUACUCUUGGGUGACCAAGGUUGAAAACCAAGCAGUAAAUCAACAUCUUGCCUAACUUCAUGGGAAUUUUUCUCACAAAUGGAUGGGAUGCAUUUCAGCAUUUCUCCUCAUGAACACAAUAUUGGUUUGGAAACCCUUUAAGGCGACAGAGUCUUGCUAUGUCACAACCUUCCUGCCUUAGCCUUUGGAGCAGCUGGGACAAAAGAUAUACCACACCACGCCAGGCUUUUACGGUGGGCCAGGAAUUGAACCUGGGUCUCCCAUGUGACCUCGGCCUACCAAGUAGCAGAAUCAAUCAGAGUGUACUACUUACUGCCAUUGAGCCUAUAUACAAAUCUAUCAUGAAAAGUAAAACCUACAAAUAGGUCAAUUUUCAAAUUAAAUGUCCUAAAAAGUGUUAUAGUUUUAUGGUAUAAGCUGAGUACCCAAUCUUAUCUUCAUUUUCAUAUUACGGAAAAGAAAGACAAAAUUGUAUUACUACAGCUGAAGAACAAAUCAACACACACGAUGCAUGGUUUAAAUACUUUCAUGACUCAUGAGCUCAGGA